rnacentral:rRNA from 1 species
AUUGAACGCUGGCGGCAGGCUUAACACAUGCAAGUCGAGCGGAGCGAGGGUGCUUGCACCUUAGCUUAGCGGCGGACGGGUGAGUAAUGCUUAGGAAUCUGCCUAUUAGUGGGGGACAACAUUCCGAAAGGAAUGCUAAUACCGCAUACGCCCUACGGGGGAAAGCAGGGGAUCUUCGGACCUUGCGCUAAGAGAUGAGCCUAAGUCGGAUUAGCUAGUUGGUGGGGUAAAGGCCUACCAAGGCGACGAUCUGUAGCGGGUCUGAGAGGAUGGUCAGCCACACUGGGACUGAGACACGGCCCAGACUCCUACGGGAGGCAGCAGUGGGGAAUAUUGGACAAUGGGCGGAAGCCUGAUCCAGCCAUGCCGCGUGUGUGAAGAAGGCCUUUUGGUUGUAAAGCACUUUAAGCGAGGAGGAGGCUACUAGUAUUAAUACUACUGGAUAGUGGACGUUACUCGCAGAAUAAGCACCGGCUAACUCUGUGCCAGCCGCCGCGGUAAUAC